AGCUUAGUGCGUGAUUUGGCUUGUGCCGGCGCAGAUUCCCCUAGGUCUGGAGCCGGUAACAUUUUUAACAAAUAAAAUAUCAAUAUUUCCAUUCCGAACUGCUUUCCAAGUCGAAGCGUCCACAAACUUAACCAGGUUAUUUCUGCGUUUUCUACAUACAGCUCAUCUGUCACCACUGGUGCUGCAGACUCUGAUCUGGGAUGGAGAUCUGAAGGGGACAAUUACAGCUGUUGACUAGCAGGCAGCCAGGUGCAGAGAGGGUGUGGGCAUGUUGGGUUCUGUCCCAGGACAUCUCGUUACAGCACACCGACACUGUGCUGAUGUGAUCCAGCGAGAGGAGUGUGAGGAUGAGGAGGCAGACCUUCCUCUGUAUGAACACUGAUUCAAUGCAAUAAGCUUUUGACAAAUUCAUUUUAAACAAACUUUACAAUAACACAAU